AGGCAGCCCCUAUGCAAUUUCCAUGGUAAAGGAGGCGUCAAAUUGCUUGCAGUUCGAAUGCUUAUGCUUUUUAGAUUUGCUGAGAUUUCCUUUGAAGAUGGCCUAGUAAGCUCAAGGACAUU